rnacentral:rRNA from 1 species
UACGUACCGUGCGAACGUUGUUCGGAAUCACUGGGCUUAAAGGGCGCGUAGGCGGGUGUGCAAGUCUGUGGUGAAAGCCUCCAGCUUAACUGGAGAAGUGCCAUGGAUACUGCACAUCUUGAGGAGGGUAGGGGCAUCUGGAACGGUCGGUGGAGCGGUGAAAUGCGUUGAUAUCGACCGGAACUCCGGUGGCGAAGGCGAGGUGCUGGACCCUUUCUGACGCUGAGGCGCGAAAGCCAGGGGAGCAAACGGG